UACGGAAGGGGCAAGCGUUGUUCGGAAUUACUGGGCGUAAAGGGCUCGUAGGCGGCCAACUAAGUCAGACGUGAAAUCCCUCAGCUUAACUGGGGAACUGCGUCUGAUACUGGAUGGCUUGGAUUCGGGAGAGGAAUGCGGAAUUCCAGGUGUAGCGGUGAAAUGCGUAGAUAUCUGGAGGAACACCGGUGGCGAAGGCGGCAUUCUGGACCGACAUUGACGCUGAGGAGCGAAAGCCAGGGGAGCAAACGGG
rnacentral:rRNA from 1 species